GACGAACGCUGGCGGCGUGCUUAACACAUGCAAGUCGAACGGAAAGGCCCUGCUUUUGUGGGGUGCUCGAGUGGCGAACGGAUGAGUAACACGUGAGUAACCUGCCCUUGACUUUGGGAUAACUUCAGGAAACUGGGGCUAAUACCGGAUAGGAGCUCCUGCUGCAUGGUGGGGGUUGGAAAGUUUCGGCGGUUGGGGAUGGACUCGCGGCUUAUCAGCUUGUUGGUGGGGUAGUGGCUUACCAAGGCUUUGACGGGUAGCCGGCCUGAGAGGGUGACCGGCCACAUUGGGACUGAGAUACGGCCCAGACUCCUACGGGAGGCAGCAGUGGGGAAUAUUGCACAAUGGGCGGAAGCCUGAUGCAGCAACGCCGCGUGCGGGAUGACGGCCUUCGGGUUGUAAACCGCUUUCGCCUGUGACGAAGCGUGAGUGACGGUAAUGGGUAAAGAAGCACCGGCUAACUACGUGCCAGCAGCCGCGGUGAUACGUAGGGUGCGAGCGUUGUCCGGAUUUAUUGGGCGUAAAGGGCUCGUAGGUGGUUGAUCGCGUCGGAAGUGUAAUCUUGGGGCUUAACCCUGAGCGUGCUUUCGAUACGGGUUGACUUGAGGAAGGUAGGGGAGAAUGGAAUUCCUGGUGGAGCGGUGGAAUGCGCAGAUAUCAGGAGGAACACCAGUGGCGAAGGCGGUUCUCUGGGCCUUUCCUGACGCUGAGGAGCGAAAGCGUGGGGAGCGAACAGGCUUAGAUACCCUGGUAGUCCACGCUGUAAACGGUGGGUACUAGGUGUGGGGUCCAUUCCACGGGUUCCGUGCCGUAGCUAACGCUUUAAGUACCCCGCCUGGGGAGUACGGCCGCAAGGCUAAAACUCAAAGGAAUUGACGGGGCCCCGCACAAGCGGCGGAGCAUGCGGAUUAAUUCGAUGCAACGCGUAGAACCUUACCUGGGUUUGACAUGGAUCGGGAGCGCUCAGAGAUGGGUGUGCCUCUUUUGGGGUCGGUUCACAGGUGGUGCAUGGCUGUCGUCAGCUCGUGUCGUGAGAUGUUGGGUUAAGUCCCGCAACGAGCGCAACCCUUGUUCACUGUUGCCAGCACGUUAUGGUGGGGACUCAGUGGAGACCGCCGGGGUCAACUCGGAGGAAGGUGGGGAUGACGUCAAGUCAUCAUGCCCCUUAUGUCCAGGGCUUCACGCAUGCUACAAUGGCUGGUACAGAGAGUGGCGAGCCUGUGAGGGUGAGCGAAUCUCGGAAAGCCGGUCUCAGUUCGGAUUGGGGUCUGCAACUCGACCUCAUGAAGUCGGAGUCGCUAGUAAUCGCAGAUCAGCAACGCUGCGGUGAAUACGUUCCCGGGGCU
rnacentral:rRNA from 1 species